rfam:Synechococcus sp. SynAce01, complete genome.
CUUAUACUCUCGCCAGCGGUCCCUUCAUUGGGACUUCAGCUCCAGUUGUGGCAGGGGGUUCUGGCGAUUAGCUGGUCCUCUGUCUCCCUGGUUUCCAUGGCCGCGGCGGGCCUGUUCUGCCAACGCCAUGAGACCCACCGGCCAGGCUUCCCGCCUGCGCCCGAGGGGUGGACCCCCACCUCGAUCCCGUCCCUCGAGGAACGUCUCGAUGA